UACGGAGGGUGCAAGCGUUAUCCGGAUUCACUGGGUUUAAAGGGUGCGUAGGUGGGCUGGUAAGUCCGUGGUGAAAUCUCCGAGCUUAACUCGGAAACUGCCGUGGAUACUAUCAGUCUUGAAUAUCGUGGAGGUAAGCGGAAUAUGUCAUGUAGCGGUGAAAUGCUUAGAUAUGACAUAGAACACCGAUAGCGGAGGCAGCUUGCUACGCGAUUAUUGACGCUGAGGCACGAAAGCGUGGGGAUCAAACAGG
rnacentral:rRNA from 1 species